rnacentral:tRNA from 1 species
GGACUCUUAGCUUAGCUGGUCAGAGCAUGGUCCUGAUAAUGCCAAGGUUGUAGGUUUGAUCCUUGUAUGGGCCA